CCUACGGGAGGCUGCAGUGAGGAAUAUUUGUCAAUGGCCGUAAGGCUGAACCAGCCAAGUAGCGUGAGGGAAUGCUGCCCUAUGGGUUGUAAACCUCUUUUAUGCGGGGAUAAAGGUGUCCACGUGUGGCUGUUUGCAGGUACCGCAUGAAUAAGGACCGGCUAAUUCCGUGCCAGCAGCCGCGGUAAUCCGGAGGGUCCGGGCGUUGUCCGGAAUUAUUGGGUUUAAAGGGAGCGUAGGCCGGUCUUUAAGCGUGCCGUGAAAUUUUGUGGCUCAACCAUGAGAGUGCGGCGCGAACUGGAGACCUUGAGUGCGCGGAAGGCAGGCGGAAUUCGUGGUGUAGCGGUGAAAUGCUUAGAUAUCACGAAGAACCCCGAUUGCGAAGGCAGCCUACCGCAGCGUUACUGACGCUGAAGCUCGAAAGCGCGGGUAUCGAACAGGAUUUGAUACCCGAGUAGUC
rnacentral:rRNA from 1 species